GGACAUAGAGCCAUUGACAACAACUCUCUGUCUGUGUCCACACAGUCAAUUCCUUAUCCAACAAAGAGUCCACCCUUUAAAUCCAUGUGUCUCCAUUUGGAGAUGAGGAAGUUGUGUGGGACCAUGCCAAAAGCUUGAUAGGAGUCUAGGUAGAUGACAUCAGUCAUUCUUCCCUUGUCAACUAUUGUAGUCACUCUAUCAUAGAAGGCCACCAGAUUGUUCAGAUCUUGCUUGUGUUUUAUUCAUAAGUAAUGAAAGAGCAAAGGAAGAACUUAAGAGACUAGAAAGAAAACGGCUGUCCCAUCAUGGUCUUAGAAGUUCAACUUUAGUCUUCUUUCGGUAACCUCACCUGACAAGACAGGACAAGGGUUUGCUAUCCAGCAAGAAGUUUGCAAACUGGAGCAGAUAAAAGCUGCUAUUGAAUGCUUCAACACAUACAAGAAAUAAAUAAACCAAGGAAAAUGCAAUGAGAACUGGAAUCUGAUUUCUCCUCCAGGCAGUGUAAAUAGUAUCUAUAUGACAUCUACAGAAUGAAACAAGGAAUAUGAACUCCAGAGAAAACAGAAGUAGUCUAUGGAACAUAAAAAGUUUUAAGAACUCCUUUUGCAUGCAAGUCUCAUUCAGUGUUCAGGAUGGCUGUGGAGGUGAAUCAGGGUUGAAGAGUGAGCAGUCAAGGGAUCAGCAACUAUGUUCAUUGAAGAAGCUGCUUUUUCAUUGUUCGCUAAAAAAAGAACAAUAUGACUUGUAGAUCCAACAGCAUCUUGAAUUAAAUUAGAAGAAUUCUGGAUACUCCAAGCCUCCAACAAAUCUGAUGCUAUACAGGACUCUAAGAGACAAUAACUAAUUUGGUACUUUCCA